rnacentral:rRNA from 1 species
UACAGAGGCCUCGAGCGUUAGGCGGAAUUACUGGGCGUAAAGCGUGCGCAGGCGGCUUUGCAAGACAGAUGUGAAAUCUUCGGGCUCAACUCGAAGUCUGCACGGGAAACUGCGGGGCUUGAGUGUGGGAGAGGUGAGUGGAAUUCCCGGUGUAGCGGUGAAAUGCGUAGAUAUCGGGAGGAACGCCGGUGGCGAAAGCGGCGUGCUGGACCUCUUCUGACGCUGAGGCGCGAAAGCCAGGGGAGCAAACGGG